UAGCUUGUUUUCUUGUUUCUUGUUGUUUUUGCGUUUACCGCGCUCGGAAUACCUAGUUAUCUUCGUCGUUUUUAAUUUGAAUGUGCUUUUUAUAAUAAUAACGACACUGAACCAUACAAUGCAACAAGAAGAUAUUGAAAAGUUAUACUUUGUACCUUUCAAAGCUGUGCAAAAAGUGACAAAAUUCAUUAGAAACUCAACUAAAUGGGAGAAGGAAGCAUGUCACCGCAGCCUUCUGAAUCUCCAGGAUGCGCACAAUCAUUUCCACAAGCACGAGCCAGGGUCUACAUUAUUUAUGAAAAAUGUUUUUUUCAAAUGUGUGAGGUCUGCCAUUUAUUCUCAUAAUUGGGAUAAGCUCUUAUAUAUCCUUACAAAGAGUACCAUUAGGGAUAAUAGAAGAUGUCUGUAUAGUGAAGAAACUAAUUCUGAAAGGCUAAAAUUCUAUUUGAAGGCCUUCACAAUAUUGUUGAUGAACCACCCGUAUGCCAGAACCCACGGUCUGCUGGAUGAUUACAUGCACAUGGUGCUGUCGUGCCGCACACAGGAGAGUAGGCAGGCCAUCAUGAAGGUGCUUGUGACGUUGACGGACACUCUCUAUUCUAAAGUAUUGGCGAAUAGGAGAAAGAGAUUGGAGAGAGAUAUGGAUGGACUGGUUGAACUUAUUUAAAAAUAUUACCAGUGUUGUUUGUGAUAUUUUUCCAGCAAAGGGUAUCAUUUCACUUUGAUCUAUAUUUCUGAACUGUGACAGGAACAACCAAUUAAAAUAUAGAAUGAUGGGCAUUGGACAUUAUGAUGUUAAUUAAUGCAAUUAACUGUUCGACUGGGUGCAGUGGAAGGUCGUUACAAAAUACAAAGCAGACAUGAACAACAAGACAGAAUAUCAAUAGAUU